rnacentral:lncRNA from 1 species
GGCACCUGCACCUCCCUCAGAUGGCGGGCAACAGGUACUAUGCCGCUGAAGGGGGGACAAGGGAGUGUUUCUAGAUGGCCCCGCGGACACAGAGCCCAGGAGUCCUGGGCGGGACCCUGUGGGAGGCUUGAAGGGGCAGUGCUGGGUGCAGGGCCUCACAAUGCCCCAGGGUGGCUGCAAUGAGGAUGGGAGGGGUGAGGACCGGCUGUUGGGUCCCUGGGCAGGUGCGACGAGGCAGCCCCGGAGGCUGACAGGAGGGCAGGGUGACCAAGCAGAGCCUGGCCACUGCUUCUUCCCCACUGAGCAGCCUCCCCCAGGCUGGCUCAGGGUUUGCAGAGGCCACUGAGGGACCAGAGGCGAGUCCUCCUGUGACACGGGCAGACCAGCCCGGGGCCUCUGGGGAGAAGUCUCCUGCCCAGAUGCCAGAGGAGACACCAAGUGGCACCAUCGGCCUCCCUCUGCUUGGCCAGCUCCGGCAGCCUCUCCACCAGGUGACGGCCGAUGCCAGAGACCAGGGCUGCAGCGGCACAUCCGAGGAGUGGGCACAGAAGAGCAGCAGCAGCCCCUGCCCAGUGACUCCUGGAACAAGCUUCCCCUGCGGGGUGUUGGCGGGGGGUGGUGAGAGAAUCCCCAUGGCAACUCACAGAAACAUCAUCUGGAUGAGAUAUCAGAUUCCCCGGGACAGCAACCUGCUCAGCGAGUGGGUCGAGGAGGCAAGACCAGAACCCAGACGAGAGCACUGAAAUCUCCAGCACAUCGCGUUGCCCAUGAGGCAGUCAUUGCCAUUGAUUGCCCUCCUCCAUCGCGACGCAGGGCAUAUUUGGGGAUCUGUAAUUCACAGACUGAUAUGGGAAGAAGCCCAGCACAGCUCUCAGACCAGCCAGGUCAGCCUUGGCCUAAGGCCCGCCUCUGGCCAGAGGUGACUGGGCUGCCCCUGGCUUCCUGAGGCAAGGAGCAGGAAAGCUCACAGCUCAGCCAGCUCAGCACUGGGGAAACAGGGGACACGGAUGGAGGGGUAGUGGCUGGGAUUUGCCUGAGAAACUCUAGGACUAGGGAGAGGCUGGGAGACCCCAAAAAGCAAGCGCAGAACAAGGAGGGACUGACACCGUGGCCGUGGACCAGCCUGUGAGGCGCCCCUGCCAUGGAUCUGCCGGGAUGUUGGGCGGGGGGGGGGGGGGUGCUGCCCACAGGGCCCGGCCUUCCCAGCCCCACCCAAGGCCUCCAGGAACGGCCAAAGCAGGGCCAGUGAGGAAGCCCCGACCCCGCAACAGCUUCCCAGGCCCGCGGUGCUCCACAGAACCCUCCACCAUGGUCCCCAGGGCUGGGGCACCCUGGGGCAGCCCUGGCGCGUCAUGGAGUAUCGGCAGGGUGCCCCGCCGGGGAACCCAGGGGGAGCCGGCAGCAGAGGCAGGGUGGAGGCGGCCUGAGCACCUGGCAAUAGGGGAGAAGGCCCUGUGUGUGGCAGAGCCCAAGAGAGGAGGUGCUUCAGGAUGGCGACGGAGGGCUGGCUUGACCUGCGGCUCACCCUCCAACAAGGGCCACAAACACCUGCGCGUCUUUGCAGGGCCCCGACUCCCCCAGCCUAGGACCCAGCCCUGGGUCUCCCUCUUCCUCCCAUGGUACAGUCGGGGCAACUAAAGUCUGAGUGCGGGACACAGGGACCUCAGCUCUGCCGGCCCGCGGCCUCCUCCUCAAGCCCUUGGGCCGCCUUGCGCCAAAUCCCUCGAGAGCCGCCACCAUUCCCGCCAUUCCUACCUCCGCUCCGGGCAGCCAGACAGACGGCCGGGGCCAGUCCGAGGCGCGCACCCACCCCCAUCCGUCCCCCGUCGUCUCCUGGGUCCCCCAAACCCAGUUCCCGCCACCACUGUCCACGGAAGACGCCAGCGCUCGGCCCAGCGUUCCUGAUUCCCCCUUUCUCGGCGCGUCCCGGGCGCUCGGGUAUCUCUGCCCGCGCCUCACCUUCCCGGGGAACCGGUCUCCGCCCGGCUCCUCCACCUGGGGAAUCUCCCUCGCCCCGGGGCCCGGCCCGCCACCCCUCAGGAAGCGCCUCUGCGCCCCCGGUCCAUCCCUGCUGGAGGAGCUCGCGAAGGUUCAUGCGAGCGCGCGG